rnacentral:tRNA from 2 species
GGGCCAGUAGCUCAGUUGGCUAGAGCGCCUCAUUUGCACUGAGGAGGUCGGGGGUUCGAUUCCUCUCUGGUCCA